rnacentral:lncRNA from 1 species
AUGGGUCCGUGCAGCAUUUCCACGAUAUCGUUAUGAUCAAUUAAUGGGACUUGGCCGGAAAGUGUUCUUGCCUCUAUCAUUAGCUCGGGUAGUCUUAGUUUCUGGUCUUUCAGUCACCUUUCAAUGGCUCCCUUAAUUAUGUGCGAGGAAUUUCCCUCGUCGAGUAAUGGGAAGCGGGCUAGUCCCCGAAAAUGCCCGUUCCUUUGUCGUUGGGGCCCAAAAUCUUCCUUGCUUGCAGAGACUUGACUUGUAGUCUUGUAAGAUUGGCUCAAAGACCAGAAAGAGACCGCAGCCAAUUCAGGAAGAACAAGUGCAUAAAGCUAACCCCUAACCAUAUUCUAGUACUAGUAUAUAUUAUAUAACAAGAGAAAGUCUUCAAGGCCUUUUUAUGAUGGGCGUUUACUCUACCUCAAAAGGAAAGGUAGAACUACAAGAAGCAAGAGUUCACUAUCGAGAAUAAAACAUCUCAUUCAGAGCUUUCCCUAAAGAAGAAAGACCACCUAUUUACUCAAGAGGUAGUGGAGGCCAACUAGCAAUUCCAGAAAAUGCAAUCUUUACAAGUAAGCAUUAAAAUCUUCUUGGGUUACUUGCUUAAAAUCUGACUAAGAAAGCGAACCCUUUUUCAUUUGAGUUUCCAGUCGGCAUUCUCAAGAAAAUACGGAAUACAUCGACUGCCGCGAAGGCGCUUACAAGAAGAAAAAAAUCCUCCUGCUGAAAGAAUCUCAAAAAGAAAGAAUCUCAUCUUGAGCCCGUAGUUAGGCUCUCGCAAUAUUCUUUGCACCUUCGGACUAUCCAUGUUGACUAUUACUUUCUAAGUCGCCUAGUAAAGGAAAAGGGCAAUUCGCCUUAACCUUAACAAAAGCAAGAAGGGGGAAGAGUCCUACAACUUCAGUCCCAUUCACUCCAGACACUACUGACUUACAAGGAUUAGUCGAUGAUUUCAGGGCAACAAGUCAAGCAUUAGGCUGAGAGGCGGAUACGGUUUUCCCCGCGGAUUAGACCAGCAUGACCUCAGGGAUGAAUGAACUACUGACGGACAGGAUGAAAGGUUUGACCCUCCGUGAACCCUUAUCCGAUAGGGGAAGGAGGCUAGACUAGGUAAAUUGAAUACCAGCUGGUUUAUCAUGAAAUAAGAUAAAGGCUGCACAUGAAAAGAAAGAGUGCGAAUUGGUUAAGAAGCACGAGUCGAAGGGUGAAUCCCUUAAUAGAAUAUCCCUGUUCGAGUUCGUAUUCAAGCUAAGUAGAUUUUCCGAUUGAGAAAAGACUAAAAGCAAAGCUCCAGAUGAGUUUCAUUGAGUUGUUAGCUAUGAGUAAGAAGUUCGAGUUGUUGAGUUUCUUCACUCUCCAACAUUCACAGGAGAUGUUCCGUAGGUGAAUUCCUUGGCUAGGGCAGUUCGGAAAGAAAGAAAAAGACGGAGAAGCUGGAUCAGCAGCAUAAGGAGGAGAAGCUGCAGAAGGAGAAAAAGAAGCGAGGUUCGUUCUCGUCUCUCCCGAAGGAUUCGAAUCCUAAAGCUUGCUUCCAGAAAGAAGAUAGGCCGAAUAUAAAGUACUCAUAGCCGGUCUUCAAGCAGAAAGAAAGCAGGAUGCCAAAUUCAAGAUUCAAUGGAAAGAAAAAGACUACGAACAUUCUAAUGGCGCGACAGGCGCAAAGAUCGUGGCCCACGUAGCGGUGCAAUAAGACAGGUCCGAAGGCGCCAUAAGACAGGUCCGAAGGACUAUCCAUUUGAGUUGCGUGAGUUGAACCGAUUCAUUCUUCAUUCAUUCAUUCACGCAUAUUUCAUUGCGCCUCCGUUAGGCGCAAAGAAUAUUGCGAGACCGCGUAGAAGGAGUCUUAUGAAACCUGGACCCUUCUUUUUAAAGAAGAAGAAGUCCUACGUCCUACGUCCGCAGUCCUACGUCCGCAGGAUUUAUCCGUAGUCCGGAGUCCGCAGUCCGCAGGAUUUAUCCGUAGGACUAUCCAUUAGAAGGAGGACUAUCCAUAUGGAAGUAGGACCAUCCAUAUGGAAGGAAGUAGUCCUACGUCCGCAGGAUUCUUAUCCGUAGUCCGGAGUCCGGAGUCCGCAGGGCCAAAGAAAGGUCCAGGUGAUUUAUCCGUAGGACCAUCCAUAUGGAGGGAAGUAGUCCGGAGUCCGGAGGAUUCUUAUCCGUAGGACUAUCCAUAUUCAGGAGCGGAAUCAAGAAUAGACCCGUCAGUAUCCGGACCAGAAACCAUAAGAAAACUCUGUUCAUUGAUUUUCCCUAGAUUUUGCUAAUGGACCAGUUGCAAUUUCCCGGCUUUUUUGCUUCUAAAUAGGACUUUUUCGACUUUUCUUAUCUAACGAAAAUAGAUCAAUUUUGACUGAUUUUUUGUCUUUUCUUGCUACUUUAUAGGCCCAAAACCUAGCAUUUCCCUCCGCGGAUUCAUCUGAAAUCUAGCACAAAGAUGUCUGAAAUCUUCAAUCUACCAGAUUCAUAAUUCUUCUUUCAUUAUCGUUAAUGAGUUCAUUAUUCAGCACUUUCUAUUUCUUUCUCCUAAUUUGUAAACUCGAAAUCUGAAAAGAGCCUUCGCUUCUUUAAUGGGAACGUUGUAAAGGGUAGAAAACUCCUACAAGAUCCAGUCCUACGUCCGCAGUCCGCAGUCCGGAGGAUUUAUCCGUAGUCCGGAGUCCGCAGGAUUCUUAUCCGUAGGACUAUCCAUAUGGAAGUAGGACCAUCCGUAAUUAACCGAAGUAGUCCGGAGUCCGGAGUCCGCAGGAUUUAUCCGUAGGACUAUCCAUUAGAAGUAGGACUAUCCAUAUGGAAGUAGGACCUUCCGUAAUUAACCGAAGUAGGACUAUCCGUAAUUAACCGAAGGAGUGGGCUGGAGCUUUUGUUUUUGGAGCUAAAGUGGGCGCAGCCCACGGAGCGGUUCAAAGAAUAUUGACAAGACUUCCAGGCGCAAAGAGCGAGGAGCAAAGAUCUAUGGCCCCCAAUUAUAAGGGGUCCAGAUGACUAUCCACUAGGGAAUAUUGCGUGAGAAUAGUCCUUCGCCUAGAAAUGCACUUUGCUCCUACUAUAUAGCUCCGGACGAGUCAGGCGCAUAUUGCGAGGUGCAAUUCCGUUAAUAUGGAUAAGUCCUUCGGACCUGUGAAAUCCACUUUUUCUAGUGAGAGGUGAGCGGCAGAUUCGCGAGCCUAGACUUGCACCAUAUUCUGAAUUUCUUCAGACCCUUUUCGAGGAAUGUUCGGGUUAACGACCGAUAAAAGCGUAGAUCGAAUCAUUCUGUCCUGAAUAAUCAGAAUUCAAGACCUCCCCGAUUUUAGAAGAGAAAAAAAAACCUCUAAGUCGAGCACAAGACCCCUUUAUUUAUGGAUGUUCAUUGAGCCUUGUGGAUCCCAAAAAAAAGAAAGCUUUAUCCCCUGAAAAGCCAAUUAUGAAAAAGAGUAGCAAGAAGAUGCUCCCAAGUGACCGGUGUCGGCCAGCCAAGCAGAUGUGAUUCUUUCUCUUCCUUUCCUAUUCUCACUGACAUUCAGGGCAAUAUUCUUUGCACCUUGCUCCAAAAACUCCAAGAGCACACUAGGCACCAAGUCGCAGUGACAACGCUUUCCAGCGGUAGUCCUCCGGUAAUCAAGCAAGAAGAAAAAAGCAUUCCUCGUCGCGGCGACUAGCUUCUCAAGUGGGUGGCUUGGUAAGCAAGAAGCUACCUUCAGCAUCGGUCAAAUCCCUAUCAAUAAAGAAAUAGGCCGGAAUGGUGGGGAAGGAGGCCCUCCCUACUGAAAUGGAAAGGGGGGAAUCGCCCAGCCCUUCUUCUAAAAACUACCUUUCGCCCAACAUGAUCACAAACGAAGACAGAGAAUUGCGUAGAUAGGAGGAGGAAACGAACCAACCCACUUGUCCUGAUCGGAACGAACGAUUGAAGAAAGAAAAGGGUGGCCCCUUUCGCCCAGGGGACAUCGUCGGAGAACAAUGUCGGGGACAGGGACCUUCCGUUGGUUACGCCCUUUAAGUCUUGGUUCUUCCAUAUUUAGAUAUGGAGAUAGAGAUCUAUCUCCUUCUAGAGAAAGAUAGAUAGGCAAAAUUUGAUUGAUCUGCUUUCAAGAUCUAUGAACAAUCAAUGAACAAAGACAUUUGAAAAAAGAGAUGUGAAUAAAUAGAUAGGGCGGAGCCAGCUGAAGGAAGGUCGCGUGAGCGCCCCUGCAAUCAAACUAAAGUAAGAAGCGCGAAACUUUACUUUGAGAAAGUUAUAUUAGAAUAUUAGUGCGCGUUAGCCUAUCUAUAGUAAUGGGCUUCUCAAAGGUUUAGGGGUGCGUAGAUUUGGAACCCUAUCCCAUGGGCUUUCUCUGAGAGGGGCUCGCUUCUUCAAGCGGAGCUUGCUGUCUACUAAACGAGCCUUCACUGCCCGCCCGGCCCCUAUCUUUAAUAAAAAGUAAAGUGAAGUCAAAUAAAAGAAAGCCCAACCUCUUUCUUUUAAGCUUUUCCAGAAAGCAACUACUUAUUAAAGCUUUGCUUCCCCUAAUUCCAAAGCACAAGAAUAGACUUGCAAGGUAUAGGAAAAAGCUUUUCUUUGAUAGCGGUCAGGGUUCAGAAAGGAUCUGAUCCUAUCUCGAGACUGAAAGCGGGGGUAGGGGCGGAUGUAGCCAAGUGGAUCAAGGCAGUGGAUUGUGAAUCCACCACGCGCGGGUUCAAUCCCCGUCGUUCGCCCAUCAAUAAAUGGACCAUUUCUUACGGAGACAGAAGAGAAAGCACCUAUCAAGCAUUUUUUCUGCAAGUCAUCUCGAGGCUUUCAAAGGCAUCCAAACAAUUGGUAUCCGAUUAAAAGCAUAGAUUCGCCUCGCCUACUUACUUCAAGCACAAAUGGAAUGGCUGAUCAUUUCUUGUAUUCAGUUUUUAAGACCUCACUAAUCAGCCAACCACUUUCAAGUUCAUAAUGAAUGAGUUUUUUAGUGGAAUAAGACUCGUCCUUCCGCCCUCCCUUUUACUAAACCAUGGGGAGCCCCGAGUAGUUUACCGGGCAAAUUGAGUUCUCGUGAGGAGUGGAAGAUCGGAAAUUUUCUGAAUCACGAGACUACAGGUCCGAAGGACUAUCCAUUAGGGAAGAGUAAGAGGCGCAAUGAAAUAUGCGUGAGAGCAAAGACAGGCUGAAUGAAUUGAGAUUGAAAUUCGGCACUUGCUUCCUUCGUCUUAAGUAAAGUGUUGUUGACUUUUUAGAUUUGGAACUCUUAGUCGAGGGCGAGAUCUAUUUUUUCUUCGAGACGAGAUAUCGGGGAGGAACCGCCGCCCAAUGGUGCUUUUACGAAAGUACGGUCCCUGGUGGCUAAUACCUUCUCUACACUAUCGAACCCUCAACAAUAUCCCUGUCUUAUGGCGCCUCAAUCGUUUAGAAAAGAUUUUUUUCGACUUAACUCAGGCAAAAAGUGCCCUAUCUGCCUUGUUGUUCUAGGGGGGUCUUUUUUUUCAAGUCAAGCUCCGUAUCCCUACCUCUUUUUAGGUUGGCAUAACAAAGAAAAAGAGUGUCAAGAAAGAACACAUACCCCAUCACUUUUUGAAGGUUCGGAAUCGUCAGGGAGCCCCUAUAGACGUCAAAACUUGACUUCACUGAACCGGCACUACUCUUUGUCGGCUCCUACCACUCGUCCCUCGUCUGCUUGUCGAGCGCGCCCUUGGCCCUUGCUCGUCUAUAGUAGCCGAUCGAGCUUCUUCGCCCCUCUCCCGCUUAUUGAUUAGGGCGAGUCACUCAAGUCCCUUGUCACUCGACUCUCUUUUCUUUUACGAAAAUCCCUGGGUUUUUGCCUUUUUCGUAAACUAAACUCGCUCGUCAAGAGAGGAGUUGCCUCACUACGAAAGGUGUCCCAUGGAUGGACGAGUUCCUAAACUACGAAAGAUAUGGAGCGGAUGGCGUACUGAUAGAUCUCCUAUUCGUUCUGGAUCCAGAUGAAACUUUUUUUGAUAUUAGUAAAGCGCUAACGCGCCCUGAAAACGAAAGUAAAGCAGCAAGCCCACUCCUCCUUCAGCAUAAUCUAAAAAUAGGGCAAUAUUCUUCUCAAAUUCUUUGAGCCCUCCCCCAGUGCAAAGAAUAUUGCGAAGACCGCUCCGAAGGAGUCUUAUGAAACCUGGACCCUUCUUUCCAUAUGGAUAGUCCUACUUCCUUCCAUAUGGAUGGUCCUACUUCCUUCCAUAUGGAUGGUCCUACUUCCAUAUGGAUAGUCCUACUUCUAAUGGAUAGUCCUCCGGAUAAAUCCUGCGGACUCCGGACCCUGGACCUUUCUUUGGCCCUGCGGACUGCUUCGGUUAAUUACGGAUGGUCCUACGGAUAAAUCCUCCGGACUACUUCCAUAUGGAUAGUCCUACUUCCUUCCAUAUGGAUGGUCCUACGGAUAAAUCCUGCGGACUCCGGAUAAAUCCUGCGGACUCCGGACUCCGGACUCUAAAAGAAAUUGCCAAGUUUGAAAGGCAAAAAGGAUCUCAGAUCAUUUGCUUAAGACAUGCAAGUCAGGAGUUCAGACUCCUUUUCGCAAAUUCUUUGCUCAUGAAAAGGCGAACUUUCAGUCGCUUCGAGACUUUGCUUUCUCAAAUUCUUUGACCCUCUUCUGAAUUGCUUUCAGACUCCUAACGGAGCGGUCGGACCUCUUUUUUCGGAAAAGAUGGAACUCAAACUAGUAGUGGGCUUUCUUCCUUUCGUCUUUCUAUCUUCCCCACGUAGCGGCUUUCGUACUUAUUUGAGGUUUCAUGUGGAUUAAGAGAAGAGGCUUUUCGAGUCACAAAGAGAGUAAAAACAUAGUUCUUCUUUGAGGCUACUGUCCUUAUCGGCUAGCCUUCCCCUUCCGGGUUGGCGGGGCAAUGAAAAGACUUUGAAAUAGAGAAAGAAGCCAAUAGAGUAGAAAGUCAAUGAACAAGGCGAUCAGAAUUUUCGAAGGACUUCGGACCGUAGGAGGCUCAAAGAAUAUUGCGAAGAGCUUUCCACUGAUUGGAUAUGAGACCUCUAGCGAGUGCCUCAGUUCAACUUCCUGGUGAGGUGAGAAAGGGGAUUGUACUUAUUGAAUCUACCCUCCCUAGUCCCGAGAACUCUUUUAUCUGACUCAGUCUCUUCUUUUCUCUCGGAUGAAUCCCAUGAAAGUUGACUCUUUUUCGAAAAAGAGUACUAAAUCAAAAGAGAAAGCCUAUCCUUCUUUCUCAACCUAAUAAAUACCGUAACGAGUUGACGCUCCGUGGGGUAGAGAGAAUUGCUUCUUGCAAGUUCGGUCUGCUUGGAAUAGGCCAAGGCCCUAAUACGAGUUCAAGGUACUAGAGUAGAAUGAAUUACCUAAAUCAGAACCUGGGUUAUCAGAAGCUCUCCAUUUCGAAGUUCGUAGCCUUCGCAUCUUUUUCUACUUUCAGUUUCUAGUCGGACCAAGUGGAAUCUUUGAUACAUUCUUAUAUGAGUCCGACCGAGGACCCGUCCUUCUUAGUUCAGUGAUUGAAUCUACCAUAUGAACUUCCUUUUAGUUUGAGUAGGUUUCAAAACAUAAGAGAGAAAGUUGGAUUGAGUUCCAUAAAUCAGUCGGGAAAUAGAGGGUGACUGAAUAAGGCGCGAAGCGAAAAGCAAGCUUCUAUCUUCUAUUUUGAUGCGUCUCAGCCAAGCGAAAAGUUGGAAUUCAGGCGCUUUCCUUUGGUACGAAUCGCUGGAGUUGGCAUUGAGAGUGGAAGUUGGAGAAGUCCCUUGCUGCCGUUGAAGACUCCUCGGGGAGUUACGCAGCUUGAAAGGAGCGAAGAGCUUGACCGAGCUGGGGGGUAUCGACUGGAUAGGAUCGUGAUGAUUCCCCUAGUUGAAGUGACCUAUCGGGCAGAGGUUAGAUAUAGUCCUCACUGUAUCGGAUUGAAUAUGCUUCUUUUGCUUUACCUAGUUUACAAGGGGAAGUAGCGUAGCGCGUAUGCUCAUUCUUCUUCUUUUUGUAGCAGUUGAACUUCUAUUCUGAAUCUCGUGAAUUCACUCAUUGUCAUAUUCCUUCCCAUGAAAAGGAGAAAAUUCUCUUUCCGCAGAGGUUGAGCUUGAUAGGGCUCGGAAUCAGUAGCUGGAAUUAAACUACCACGGACCGGCAUAGGCAGACAGGUUAGCUCCCCAAGAGGCAGGAGAUAGGCUCGACCAGUGAGUCAGAAGCAAAAGAGACUCAAGGUUCGGGUCGGCAAGUAGGGAGUAGCAGUUCUUCUUUCAGUUUCAGUAGCCUCAUCUCUUGAGUAAGGCAACUUGCCUCAAACUCCGGUAAAUUCAUAAGGCAUAGGAAGAAAAAGGCAAAGGUCAAGAGGCUCAAAGAAUAUUGAGGAUCAGACUACUCCCAGAACCCACUACGCGGUGAGGAUACAAAGGUUAGGACUCAUGAAAUUCCAUAUUCACUUUUCUUUGAUCCUUUUCUUUAUCCGUCCGAAGGACUAUCCAUAUUAACCUGUCUGUCCGGAGGACCUGUCUUAUGGCACAAAAGUCAAUCAAAGAAAAUCAGUUCAUUAACGAUAAUGAAAGAAGCUCAAAAAGAAUCUGCUAGAUUUCAGAUGAAUCCGCGGAGGGAAAUGCUAGGUUUUGGGCCUAUAAAGUAGCAAGAAAUCAAGUCAAAUGCCUUCUUUUUCUACUUUUAUCGUUAAAUAUCAAUCUUCGAUUUACUAUGAAAAAGAAGCAAAAAAGCCGGGAAAUAGCAAGGCAUUGUCCUAUUUGAUUUUCGAAAUUCACAUGGAUCAGUUCUAGUUUGAGUUUCUGGUCCGGAUACUGACAGGUCUAUUCUGUAUUCCGCGUAGGAGAAAGAAGACAAAGAAAGAUAUUGCUGGUCGGAAAAGAAAUGAACAUAGUUUUCUUAUAGUUUGAGUUUGUGGUCCGGAUACUGACAGGGAUAUUCUUGCCUUCUAAUGGAUAGUCCGGAGGCGCAAUAUGCGAAGGCGCAAAGAAUAUUGCGCGCUACUCUUAGCUUGAUUUUCAGCCAGCCAUACCCAAACCUUGCUUGCAGCUUGCUUGAGACUUGGACUUGGCUUACUAACUAUACCUGGUGCCUGACUCUCAUGGAAAAAGAAAGGAAGAGGAAAGAGAGGGUGCAAAGUCUAUCCCUCCCUAUAUAGUCUUUUCUAUCCAAUUGUGCUCUUUGAAGCUUUCCAUCGAUCAGUCCUGAAUGGGGUCCUAUCCCGCUUCACCAACUUCUUACUAAGCAAAGGUAGUCAGGUGAACUCUAGCAAAGACCUCUGAAAUGUCUCCGAGGACAGUAAUUUGGAUUUCUUCGGAUUCGUGAACCUAGGAUUAGCAUCGAAGGUUUCAUUCCAUUGCCCGACUCUCAUCGUAAUGAGGAGGUUGAAUCUCAAUCCUAGUCUUAUCCUUAAUCCCUUGCUGCUCAAAGCCUUAGAUUGAAUGCCGACUUUGGAUCAAACCUUUGGCAGAGCACUAAAAUCACUUCUAAUGGAUAGUCCUCCGGACUGGUCCUCCGGCGCAAAGCAUAUUGCGGCUUUAUUUGGAGGAAUUCCGUAGCAGCUAAUUGAUCUAUAUCUUCCUUAUCAAUGAUCUUUGCUCCUCAUCUGGAGCCUUUGUUUUUGUCGCAGCAAAGGCGCAAAGAAUAUUGCGUGAUGAUGAAGACGACUAGAAAUAAAGAAAGCACUACGCGGGAAGAACUGGAUAAGGUCAGAGUAUUCGUUCUUUCUGGGAAAUUACAAACCCUGGGUUCUGACUUGACUAUUGUACGUAAAGACUGGACCGAUCCCAAGAACAAGGGCAAGGCGCGGCACUCUUGACUCCAUUUCCGUUCCGAAAUCAUAGGUAGAAAGCAUAGGAUAAGAGUCUCAGACGGACUAAUUCGAUAGAGUUGCAAGGAUAUAGAAAGAUUUCUCGCUAGAUCAGACCAAGGGAGGGCAAUUCAAGGGCCACUGCUGCGACUGAAGGUGACACUAGCUAUCUCGGAUAGGAAAGAGAGGCUUGAUCGGUAACCACAGAUUUCAAGGUCUUUCUCCACUGUCUGAAAGAGCCAUUGAUUCACACUGCCCGCUAUAGCGAAGAGAGAGGGGCGGAGCCACUCGACCGAUAGGGAGAGGGUUUUGGUCUCUUCUUCCUAAAUAGAGAUUCAACCGGAGAUGGGCAAUUUGAUUAGCUAUCUUGCUAUAAGGGUGGAGCGUAUGAUAAGCGAGCGAUCAGGGCUAAGAAGGGAAAAGAGUCCUCUUGUUUUUGAGAGGUGGACCUUUAGGGCCCCUCCUUUGCCGGGUAGGGCGGGACAACGGAUAAAGAGUUAGAAGAGGUUGAGAGCUCCUAAUUGAGCUGCUAUCUGCUGCGUAAAUGGAUAGAAAGGCAUCCUAAGCAGGGCUGGCGGGAAAGUAGCACCUUGCUCAGGAUGAGAGGGCUCCUUAUGCCGGGAAGGGCAGUUGAAUGUGAGAUCUAUCCCCUUUAGUUUUGAGGGUUGGCCUGAUCAAAGUAAUCGGGGAUGUAGUAGCCCAAGCACCUACUGGGAGUAGCCUCGUCUUCGCUCAGUGAUGGAAUCCUUGAAUCCAGUACAUUCUGGGUCUCCACAAUGGCUUUGAAUUAUCUGCUCUCUUCUGGCUGGAUGGGUUUCCAAGGUCUUCGUUCGAAGGCUAAUCCCCCUAGUAGGAUAGUCGGACUGAUUUUUAUCCAUUUCAUUCUUGCGGUAUAUCGGUAUCCUAGGCUUUCCUAUUUGUUGUUGGGUAGGCUUUCCAUAACCUUUUCCGCCUAUCGAGCCUUUGUCCUUCAGUUUCUUUUCUUUCUGGGAGUCUGAUUCAGAAGGUUUUUUCUCUGCUUCUUUCUGUCUUUUAUGAGAAAUAGAGUAGAGAAAGAUCUCAUGAAAGAUCGCGGGAUCUCCAUCCACUCGCACGGGUAAGAGGUUCCGGAGCUCUAGAUCAGAAGAAAGGCGCAAAGAAUAUUGCGAAAGAGAGGUGAAGGGGCUGUAGCCCUUGCAGUCCUUGUUGGAGGCAUGAAGGACCAAGGCUUAAUUCAAAGGCUGAUUUAUGGUCCGAAGGCUAGGCGCAAAGUUCGGUUAAUUACGGAAAGUCCUCCGGACUACUUCGGUUAAUUACGGAUGGUCCUACUUCUGUUAAUUACGGAUGGUCCUACGGAUAAAUCCUCCGGACUACUUCCCUCCAUAUGGAUGGUCCUACUUCGGUUAAUUACGGAUGGUCCUACUUCACUCCGGACUUUCCGUAAUUAACCGAACUUUGCACCUCUCCAUUUCAUGCGCUUCGCGCCGGAGGACGACUGAAAGGUGCGAAGCAAAGAGCGCGAGACUAGAGAGGAGAGGCUCAAUGUAAUAUGAGUUGAGAAGCGCAUUUAUCUAAGAAAAGAAGAAAGGCUCUUUGAAUAUUGAGAAUAUUGCUGGAAGAUUUGCACUGGGGGAUAUUCUUGAGAAGACUCAAAAUAGCGGGACUUCUCUUUCUUCUCUUAAAUAAUAGUCUUUCUUAAUGAGGGGAAAAUGGGUCGAGCUGUUCGGGAAUUUCCAUAAAUGAGAUGAGAGAGUCUUCUUGAAUAUAAGGCAGGCCACAAGGAGAGCUACUGAAGACUGCUCCUCCUACUUCCGGCGCGCUGACCAAUACUGGGGAUUUCUGGUCUGACCCCGGCGGCUUUCUCUUUAUUCCUUUGAUUUGAUUGGGAUUUUUUAGGUUUUUUCUUUCAAGAAAGAAUAUUGCGUCUUUGCGCCUCCGACGGAGCAGCUCCAAAAAGCCUCUGCGGUCAGUCCUUCGGACCUGCUGACGAGUCUGAUUCCACUAAAAAAUGACUCAAUAUUCUGAGCAAUAUGCACCUACGCGCGGAUAUUAUCGGCUAUUUAACAGCUUUUUUCUCCAUAAUACUUUUUCAUUUAAGCUAUUUAAGAGUGGUUAUUAAGCGGCUUUUUUUCGGAAGGCAAAGAAUAUCUCUGUCUUAUUUAUGGGAGCCUCCGUAGCUUAAUAUGUCAUCUUGACCUUUCUCGUCCCUUCCUCUUUGAGCGCUCCGACGGAGCAAAGUUCUUUAUAGGAGGCGCAAAGCAUAUUGCUCAAUUUGAGAGAACUAAAAAACCGAAGGAGGCGCAAUGAAAUAUGCGUAGAAGAAUGAGUCUACCUUUCAAAAAGAAACCGCGGAGUGGGAAAUCGUGAAAAAUGGGCGAUUUGGCGUGCAAUCUUCCAUCUUUCCUAUGCCCCAAAGUCACUAACAAAGUGAUUCUCACUAAAAACAAGGGUCGGACAGGCAGAACACAACCAUCUGCAGCACUCAAGUCAACGGGUCUCGCUUAACUUGCACUCCUUCUAAGUCGCUUCGCGCCUCAUGGUCUCGUCUUCUCUUUGGUGGGCGUAUUGGGAUUCCUUUCCUUACUCGAACUUCUGAACAAUCUUUCUUUGGGUUAAUAUGGAUAGGACUGAGGACCAGUCAAUCAAUCAUCAAUAUCCCUGUCUCGCAAUAUUCUUUGCGCCUGGAAGUCUCGCAUAUUGAAUUGCGCCUUCGGUAAAAUCACUUUGCUCCGUCGGAGCGAUCCAACUGAAUGAAAUAAGUCGAGCUUCCUUAGGCGCGUCUCGUGGGAGGCCUAGCCGGAUACUUCUCUUUUACCUUUUUGAUGCAAGGACGACUACAGCCUUUACUUUACCUCGGGCGAGCAGAAAGCCAUAAUCCUUUUAGGACGGAUUCCUCUUCCUAAAGUCGAGUCAUUUCAUUCCUCUUCCCGCUACGUGGGGUCGACCCUUUCCCAUAUAGAUGGUGGUCAUUCAACUCAUCUGGAGCUUUUCUUUUUGUAGUCUUAGGCCGGGGCAAUAGAAAGUUCCCAUGCUGCUGUUGGGAACGUAGAGUUCGAGAUGAGCACUUAUUGAGAAUGGGGGGGAAUCUUUUUGAUCAUAUUUCUUAGUUAAGAAUCUAAGCUUAUCAAGAACAAGAGAAAGAAGAAAAGCAAGGAAAGACCCCCUACGGGAACGGCUGACGCUUUUGCCUUGAUCCUCUGCUGUUUUGGGAGUUUCCUUUGUCCCUGAACUCCGCCUUAUAAGAUUAGUCUUAGAGUGAGUUCAUCCCUUCCAUUAUACGAGUGAAUGAAGUGACCUUUUAAAGGCCUAAUAACCUUGAACUCGGUAGAAAGAAGGCAUCUUAUCUUUUUUCAUGCCUUUCCUUUUUGAUCGCCAUUCUCUUCUUUGUUCUUGUAUUUUCUGGGGAUCGUGGGGAUGGCAUGGGACGCCUCUUCGGAGGAGUUCUUCACUUAUCCGAAAUAAAUGGGUGAGGACGAGGAGGAAUCCCGCCUUUACCGCUACGUGGGAUCAACCGGCUGGGCCACCUGACUUUUUCCCUGUAAAAUAGUCCAUGGGUCGGAUCGUCCAAAAGAUGAUUCCCAGUGGUGAGACCUGAACUCGCAUCUCUCGCCCUUUGCUUACUUUACGCGCAUCAAUCGUUAAGAUUUGCUUUCUCUAACCCAGAGUGAGAACUAUCACUAGAUUCUUCAUCAAAAGUCUUGAGCGAGGACAUCAAGCAAUUGGGUCCAUUACACCUUUUUCACCUUCAAAGAUUUCUGGGUGGACAAUCAAUGUCUUUACUGGAAGGAAGAAGAUCAAAAACCCCAAAAAUAGGAGAGCGGAUUCGCACCCGGAGGGAGACAAGACGUCAUCACCAGAGAGGAAUGCUCUUGCUCAAUAGAGUUGACUCUGGUCGGAUUAGUUUAGGGAAUGAAGUUGCUCAUGAGUAAGGGAAUGAUAAGGAUAGGGUCCGGGUAGAACUACUACUUUAAUUGAGACUGUAUGAGACACCCCCUUUCUAUCCAUCCUGUAAUCUCCGAUAAAAGGUGCGAAUACUAUUCCUUAUAGAAGGUUCGGGCUGGCCCUUGCUAGGCAUAAAAGGGCGCCCACGGAGCGGGCGAGGUUGAAGUUUCAUAAGGAUAGGUUGAAUAAGCAGCAGUUGCUUUCCGUCUUCUAUGAUCUCUUUCAUUCCUUAUUCGAAAGAAGGCAAAGAAAGUGGAAAGGAAAUCCUGGGAUUGUAACCAUUGAGCUUGAACCAUGAUUUAGAGUGAAAGGUUAGGCUAUUUGCCUUGGGCAAGGAGAUCUAGCUAGAGAUCGCAAGAUCGAAGAAAAGCUUUCGCAUCCUCAACUACAGCAGCCACAACUACUGGAAGAAAAAGACUUUUUCAAGAACCACUUCUGCAAGUGCUCCAUUAGUUCUUUGCUUUCCUCUACUUUCGGAUUCUAUCAUAGCUUCAGAAAAGAAAAGGGCAAUAUUCUUUGCGCCUCCCCCCGUCCUCCGGACUAUCCGUAUUAACCUAGCCUUCGGACCUGUCUUAUGCAUCCUUACUCAAAUUUCAUUGAUCCUCUCCGCCCCGUGGGAGUCUGAAAUAUUCUUUGAACCUCUCCGGUCGAGCAGCGGCUUUGCACCGCUCCGUGGGCCUCUUUUCUUUCAUCUUCUUUGAAUCUCACCGGGAUAAAUCAGCCUAAGGAAAGAUGUCGUGGAUGGAAGAAUGGAAGUUGGAACGUCAAAUCAGCCAUUUGGCUAGUCAAAUGUGAGGUAAAAUCGUACUUUUGGAACCCACUCCGCCUACUAUUUGGAAGAAAGCCUAUCCUUCGAUGGGGUGAAAGCCUUCUUAUCCAGGUGGCUACUUACUAACCUCGUCGAGUUCUAGCCUCUCCCUUUCUUAAGAGUUGCUUCGCGCCUUGCUAUGGUCAACAAGUGUAUGCCUUUGCUCCCUUCCCUUCUCUGAAUAUCAGAUGUGCUGGUGAGGCCUUUGUACGUAAUGCUCUUUAUGGGCUUCUGCCGAUUCCCCGCUUCGCAAAUUCAAAGCUCCUAACGUCAAAUAAGAAGUAAUAGUAUUCAAAUCCCCCGUCCGAAGGACAGACGGGUUAAUAUGGAUAGUCCUUCGGACCUGUGGACAUCUACAUUGUUUUUAGUGGACAAAAGACAAAGUACUAUAUAGAAGGCGCAAAGAAUUUGCGAAGAAGGCGAGAAAAGAGGGAUAUUGUUGCGUGAGAAAGAAUUUUCUCUUUUUAUCCCCCCAGGUCCGAAGGACUAUCCAUUAGGGGAUCCCACGUAGCGGUGCAAAGAAUAUUGCGAGGCGCAAUGAAAUAUGCGUAGAAGAAUGAAUCUACCCUUUACCGCUAAAUAGGAGCAGCUUAAUAUGUGAGCGGUAGGCCUCUUCUUCCUUAGAUCGCCCCUGCCCGAGCAGGCUUGAUGGAUUGAUUGAUGAAAUCAUAUAUAGGACAAAAACUCCCAACGUAGACGAGGCACACAGUAAAGAGGGAAAGAGACCAAACUCACUCACGAAAAGGAAAGAUUGAAUGAAAGAGGGAAAGGUCUCAUCAUUCUCCCGAACGUACUCACUCGCCCGCCCAGGACAAAGAAGCUCGAGGCCCUUGUUCAUUGAGGCGGUUAUGGACUUGCUCGAGGUUGGAGUGAGGCAUAACCUCUUCUAUCCUAAUCGGCGCAUAAGGAAGAGACCAGGGGAAUUCAGAAAGAGAAGUGGCUUGGUGUCGGAACCCUUGGUCUUUUAGUCGUCAAGUUUCAUUCACAUUUUGAUGAUAGGUGCAAAGAAUAUUGCGAGACAGGGAGAGGGGCGAAGAGACUCGACCGUAGGGAGAGGGGCGAGAACUAUCUAUUCUUCCGCCAUACCCAAAACGUGAACACGGGAUUGGACGUGCUUUCUUGCUUAAACCCUUGCACAUGCUCAGGAUCGUCGGAUAAGGGAGGGGUAGAAGUAUUUACGGGGAGAAGGGAGUAAGUGCUCUCUAAAGGGCUGGUUCGAAGGACCGAUACGAAGCACUGCCUUGAGUCCGCCGCCGAUGUUGACGAUUGUAGAUGGGAGCUUUCCCUGACCUCUUAUUCAAGGAGAUUUCGUUUUCAUAUUUGACCGCCCUGAAUUUCCUUAUGUUAAGCCUUUUGACCUCGUAUUUGACUUCCGAAGAUUUGACUCCUUCUGCAUUCAAACUUCGUAUUCAAAAGAAGAAGGAGGCGCAAAGAAUUUGCGAAGAAGGCGCUUCUAAUGGAUAGUCCGGAGGACGGGGAAUGUGAGUUGCAGAAAGAAAAAGCAUGAACUAUCAGGUCGGAAGAGGUCCCAGGAGAAUAGGUUUCGUCAGAUCUUGAGAUAAGAAGAAAGGAUAGAAAAGCAACUCCACCAGGAUCGGGGAUAGGUUAGCCCAGCCGAAUGGGCCUAGUAGUAGUGAGGUAGGACUGAUUAAUACGAGAGCAAAGGUGCGAAGGUGCAAAGAAUAUUGCGAGAGGUUCGAAUACGAAGAGUCAGAAGUCCCAUUAUGAAUUCAAGACCGAAACCGUUAAGCAAAUGAGACCGAGGUGCAAAGAAUAUUGCGGAGAUGAAAUUGAGUUAGAAGAAAACUUGAAUCUCCCUGGCGAGAAGAAAGGAGACCUACGAAGCAAAGAAGCGGAGCGGUAGACUAAGAAGUCAAUAAUCAGUCAAAGGGCUGCACCGCUGGUCCCCAACCCAAAGACGGAUGCGCAUCGGCGAUCAUGGAAAGGAGCGAAGGCAGAGAAUACCCCCUUGCUAGGGCCAGAGCUGCUCGACUCUCAAUCUCAAGUCCUCCAAGGAUAAAGGCUAGGUCCUUUUCUCAUACCAAUAGGGGGCAUUCAAAAACCUUAGUUUAAUGGAAUGGCUAGUCAAGACCAGGGUAGACCCACACCAGGGAGAGGGCGAAUAGAGGCUGUCCGGCGACGAAGGUGUUCCAGCCAAAACAGCUACGUGGGGUUGAUCCUAGGGUCUUCUUCAGUCCGCUUGGACAGCUAGAAACUAUCUUCUUCAAGGAAGCGCUUGACUGAAACUAGAAAUGCUAUAAAUGGUGGAGUCGUCUUGUGCAGGUUCUAGGCCUGCCUUCCCCCAAGUUCAGGGGUUAGCCUCCCUUUUCAUUUCAUUCAGGGCAUCAUCCUCACGUGAGGCAAUCCAUGACUUGACUUAUAGUUCACAUUGAGCUCCCUCUCGUCCUCUAUUUGAUUGGGAGAGUGGUUCGCAACUAUCAGAUAUAGAUCUCUUCUUUCUUUCCAGAUCUUUUCUUUGUUUUGUCUGGAUGCCCUUUUCGGGCUCACUUCCUAAGAACCCAGCCCCCAAGAGGAAAUGGACAGGCAUUGAAAAAAGCCGAAGCGCUGGCAAAAACCUAGAUUCUAUCCAACCCACUCGUAGUGCCCUAGACCUGAGGGGUUAGGUUAAGGGAUUCAUUUUUCAAGUCAAAGAGGGCAGUCGCUGGGCCUUCUUUCUUUGAGUCACUCGCUCCGGGGAGAUCCUCUUUGGUAGGGAUGGGACUAAAGAGCUCUAAAGAGCGGCAACAGCUUAUCCGAAAAAAGCAGUUCUCUUAUCUUAUCGAAAAAGGUCUCGCUUUGUCUCCUGAAGUUCAAGUCAGAAAAUCAAUGAAGAAGUCGAUGCCCACGUAGCGGGAAAAGACGAAAGCAGGGAGACAAAGGCUCAAAGAAUUUGAGAUAGGCUUUCAGUAUUAUUUUGAGGUUCUAGAGGCGCAAUGAAAUAUGCGAAAGCAGGGAGCAUCAAAAUUCAUGUAUAGGGCUUUUUUUGGAAUGAAUGAUCCUACUUCUUUAUCAAGCUUAAGGAUAGGUCGUCCGGAGGACUUGUUUUUAUCCAUCUGAGCUGGUCAAAAUGCAACAAAAAAGAAGGGAAAACGCAAUAGAACCUACUAUUAUAUUAAGCCUAUCUGAUGCUUCUCUUUGCAUUCUGAGAAAAGAAAAAAUAAGGAGGCCUACGACUAAAAAAUACGGCUCGUCAUAACAUAAAAUCAAUGCUUUUAGUGAAAGGCAACUCAUAUUACAUUGAGCCUGCCGGAGAGGGAAGAACUGUUGUUGAGAGACAGGCGCAAAGAAUUUGCGAAGAAGGCGCAAUGAAAUAUGCGAGGCGCAAAGAAUAUUGCGAUAGCUCUGACUUUGAAAAUAGCUUAACCUGUGGAAUAAAGAAGUGAACUCAUUAUUAAAGAGAGAAUUUACGGGAUUGGUCUAAUCAAUAAAUAAAGAAUAGUCGCAAUAUGCGCCUUUCUUCUCUUCAAAUUCUUUGAUCCUUCUCACGGCAGCUAAGGAUAUUCUUUCUUCCCGCUCCGUGGGCUGACUUUGGGCCUCAGUAGCUUAAUUAAGAAAGUCAAAUCCCAUGAUUCCUCCUCUCCGCAAUAUUCUUUGCACCUUGCCUUUUUUCCUUCUUUAUAUUUCCGACCCCUUAUACAAAGGCUCCAUAAAGAAAUACGGAUUGGGAUUCACGGAUUGGAUUAUCAUUAAUAAGCAGUUCAGAUCUUGCUGCCCUUUUCGAGCUAGACCUCUAUCGAACUAAACCUUACUCAUUUCUAAUACUAAUACCGGGAGGGCACCGAUGUACAGGGGCUGAUUUUAGAAUUCCGAGUGCCGAGAACGGGGGCGUCAAAGAGAAGAGGUAUAUCCUUGCACGGCGACGAUACCCUUUUCUCGGUCCGAGCAUCCCACUCGGAUAAUGAGUCGGAUAAUUAUUGGUAAGCGAAUCCUGUUCGCGUUCUCGGCCGAGCAAAAGCUCCAUUGCCGAGCAAAACCGAAGGUGGCCAGCCGCAUAGUCUCUAAUUCAGAUCUGGAAUUACAUUCUACGUCCGACUGCCUUGUGUGAGAAGGAGGGGAGAUAUUUAUAAGUAACCGAUUCGGGAAAGGGUAACUUCAACCUUUACGGGCCUGGGGAAGGCCUGCCUACUAGUUUAGUUGGUCUAGAGCUAGUCUAGUAAGACUAAAUAGUAGGUGGUAGCCUUAGGGCCCCAAACGAGGUUAGGGAAAGUGACACAUUUGAAAAGUGAGAAAUCGCACUUUCCCGGUUACCGUCCACGCUAAGAUAGAAGAAGGCACUGCCCGUGUGGCUUCAACCUCUGCUGUGGGUCUUUCAAGACGAAAGACCAAGGCCUGAUCACAGCGGCCGUACACAUCCGUUAUUCUCUACCAAGGGAAAUGUCUACUAGAUGCGUAAAUCAGAUCGUGACAAGAUCUCAAGUUGCACCACAUCUCACUUAGGUCCAACCCUUGGUUCGGUUGGUGGCAUCGCGAAGUCAAGUGAAUUUCACAUCAAUUUUCUGAACCGGUAGAUCGGAUUGGUGGCGGUUAGUCAACCCCGAAAGAAGGGGAGUGAGAGAUGCGAUAAGGGUCAGGGGAUGACUUUGAAAGGUCACAUAAAAGUUCAGCGUCUCGAUAUUCACGCCGAUCGGGACCGGUCCUCCGGCAGGUCGCAAUAUUCUUUGCGCCUCGUUGCGCUCCUUGAUUCUUUUCCGCAAUAUUCUUUCCUCCUAACUACUAAUGGAAAGUCCUUCGGACUCCAUGAACUGUGAAAAUACGAUAUGAGAAUAGAUAGUUCUCGCUUGAGCUCUCUCUUACCUUUCUAGCUUCUCCAACUCGGGAAAGAUCUAAAUCAGGUCUAGCUUCCGAGACAGAGAAGAACGAUUUGAAACUUUCCAUCCAGCGCCUAUGUCAAAACCUAGUUCAAGAUCGAAUGAGCACUGAAAGUCUGACUCGAGUCAUUAUGUCUUUCUUAUCCGUUAUAUACUCCACAUUCUAGAAGUUCAUAAAGAAAGAAAGUGAACAAGAAAAUGGAAAGUCUCACUCUCAGAAAGUUAUCCAUCGCUUGAUACUAACCAUACCUUUACCGGCUUUCAUAAAAGCCAUUAUUAUAUUAUUUCUGGCCGUAGAAGGCAUCAAUCAUAUUUCAUGGAUCCUCCCUUGCCUUUUUCUACUUUCAGUUUCUAGUCGGCGUCGGACUCCCAUAAAGAAGAGAUUAGGCUUUCCUUUAUGUCUUCUUUUCCUUUGUCGGCUAAUAAGUUGAAUGAGAAAUUGAACUUUCAAGGCCGCCAGAUGGAAUCUACAGCCCUUGCACCCAUGAAACUCCUUUUCCUAAGCCACUCCUUCCCUUCUCGGUGGGUCAAGCCUUCUCACCGCCUCAAUGAAGAACCGCUGACUCUUCCCGGAGAAUGCUACAUCUCUUUCUUCCACAGCGACUCUACUGAAGAAAGAGCGGCUGCCACUGCCUCAAUGAACAAGGGUCUUCGCUUAGCCCCGAAUGAGGACUCAAUUUCGACUCCUUCUUCUCCGGAACGAUUUUGAUGCAAUUACUGAAUUUGAUAUCUUCCAUAACCUUUCUAGAGGCCGAGGGCUCGAUCUAGCUCAUUCCCGACGAAGCACGGAUCGAGCGGACGGACUCACGGAUGUGAAUACCUCGUCCUCCAUGGCUACCUUCUUAAAUGAGAAAUGCUACCUCCUUAGAAGAAGACCUCUGAUCCCUAGGCGAACCUUCCAAACCUAAAAAUAAUACGAAAGAAAGCCUUCUCACCUUUAUCUUAUCUUUCAGGGAGCCUAUUUGGGGCUAUGAGUAACCCCGCGACAGGUCAAUUCCCACGUAGCGGUAGGUUUUCCCCAUGGAAAUAUGAAAGUCUUGUUGUCAAAUCAUCCCCAGACAAAGAGCAAACUCACCCCUAGAGGUCGGACGGGCAAAGCCACGAGGAGUCUGACGAGAGGGAAGUAUCUACUCGUAUGAGUAAAGGCAGCGAUCAGUUCAGCAGAGGCCCAGGCGAGAGGCUCAGCUCAAGGAGAGGCAUCCCUUUCAGAACAAGCUGUAGCCCUCGAGUUCUUUAUUGAUUGAUGAGCAAUCUUGCUGAACUUUGCCUUCUUUAUUUAGAUCUGAAAUCAAAGGCUGAACUGAAUGUCCCCUACAGCAAGAAGGACCAACCUUCUACCCUACCCUAUUUACUGGAAUAUUCUCCCUGGGAUCAGGAUCAGAAGCGAGACCAGACCUCAAUGAACAAGGUGAGAAGGCUUUCUUCUUUUCUCCUUUCUUAAUAAUCGUGGGGUUGAUCAGAGCUAAGCUCGAGUGAGUUGUAGAGUGAGAGGAAAGGAAAAGGCUCGACUCGAGGAGGUCUUCUUAUCUUCUUUCUUGUUUCGGAGUUCACUCUAUUUGAACUCUCUUUACAUUCUGUUUAUACGUUUUUCGUGUACAAAAUGAAAGAGGGAGAUAGGCGCAAAGCUCAAAUACUUUGAUCCUUUGAACCUUUUAUUUGAAGCUGCUGGAGGCAAAAAAUUGCACAAGCUCAGUGGUCCACUUCUCGUUGAGGCGGCAUUAGGCAAUUCAGCUGGCAUAACAUCCUUUCAACUUUAUAGGAUAGGCAAGAUCUCUGAGGGCAGGUUCCUUGCUGGCUCGAGGACUCCUUCCUCCUUGAGGCAUGCUAGGAAGGUGGGCUGCGCCUUCUUGAAUCCCUUUGAGAGCUGCAUUGCUGAAAUUUGCCUUGCUUGAAGGCUAGACUCUCGUGCUAACGGAACCAUGGAAGGAUGGCCUUCUUCCAAGAUGCACAAACUCUUGCUGAAAGGAAUAGGUACUGCCUUUACUUGGUCUAAAAAUUCAAUGCCAAGAAGCACAAUGGGAUAAUCAUCCGUAGAACUCCGAAGUCAAUCUCUCCACUCCACUGCCCCAAGUUCACGCCACGAGCUACUCCGAAGAUGGAUUUAGGCCCUGAGUUUUUUACUGCCUUGAGCCAUCCAGGCUCCUUGAUCUAUUUUACGCCCAAAGGCUCAGCUUCCUUCUCCUCUCGAAAGUUGUUGGUAGCCCCUGUGUCCACCAUGGCUGUGUAGUUGCCUAGUUUGCCUUCUACAUAGAAGGGUCCCUUCCUUGCUGCCUUGGGCACUUCAACUUUGGCCUGUAUAGCAUGAAAAAUCGAACUUGAUCCCAUCUUCGUCUCCUCGUAGCGCCGAAAAUCCAGACUUCUCAAGAAUAUCCCCCAGUGCCGCAAAUUCUUUGCGCCUUGCACUCCUUUCUUCUUUUCUUAAAUAAAUGCGCUUCGUAGAUUAUGCUGAAGGAGGAGUGGGGUCCACAAUUGAAGGAUUUGAUGGGCUCCCCAUCCUUCUUCUUGUCCUUGCUCCUUGCUAGGACUGCCUCCUUUGCUUUUGCCUUUAUCGUAGCCUUUUCUGACUUGCCUCCCCCACUCUUUCCCUUGCCCUUCUCUUUGCUGGCUUUGGAAAACUCAGGCUUCUUGAACUCUAUCAAGGACUCAGCUACUGAAAUGGCUGUGGCAAGGUCCUGGACUCCGCGUCUCUGCCAAGUGCGCCGUGGCUUAAACUCAAUUUUCUUUGAGAAGCUACAAAGGCAAAGUCAAUCGCAAUCUGCUGCGCUAGUGAUGAUUGGGAAGUACUUGACCUUUUUCUUUUCUCCAACUCUCAUUGCAAGAGAAUCAACUGAAACUGGCUUGGCGGAUACUGCGGGCUUUCACCGCUAAUGAACCCGAAGGUACGGAGUAGAAUGCUUUCCCGCCUUAGAGUGUGCCAGUAGCUUUCUUCUCUCACUUCUUUCAGAUCAAUGAAGUUGAAAAGGAAUAGAGUAUACAAAGCUCUCACUCCAAGAACUCUCAUAGUUGUGAGCUUAACUACCUGUGCAAAGAGAAUCGAUGCCUUCUAUCUUAGAGUAAGCAAGGGCUAGAAAUCGAGGACCGCUACAGCGAUUCAAAAUUGACCAUUUCGAUCUAUCUCCUUCAACAGUCUAGGCCAUCGAUAGUCGGACUGAUUUAUGGAACUUAUCCCUCCAUAAUGGCGGAGAAGGUAGGAAACUUCAGCAAAGAAGCGGCUCGAGCAGAAAGCCUUUGUUCAGACAAGCUUGAUAAAGAAGUCCUUCGGUUCAAAAAACCAAAAUCAUAGUAUGAAUCUUUGAAUAGACAGGACAUUCUUUCUUUUUGUUUGGUCCUCCGCCUAAUUCAUAUGGGGAUCUGCCUCAUUCAUAUGGAUCAAAAUCAGUCCCACUAUUUCAAAAGAAAAAUAAUAGCUCUCUGAAUCUCUGGGUUAAUGUUAAUAUGGAUAGUCCUCCGGUCUCGCAAUAUUCUUUGCGCCUAACGGUCAAUGAAAUAUGAGAAGAUGACAUUCUUUAUUUAGCAAGGUUUCAUAUUGCUCAAAGAAGCGGAUAAGACAGAGGCAAAGAAUUUGCUGUUUUUACCGCGUAGUGGGUUACGGAGUGAAAUCAGCCAAUCGAGAAAAAGUGGAAUAAAAACCGCGUAGUGGGCUAGAGCUUGAUUUUUCUGGAGUCCUUUGGCCUUCCUCUCUUUUCUAGAAAGUCCACUAGUAGCUCCAUCGCUGAUAUUCCUCGCAUCUUCAUGCGCUGUGAGUCCUCCCACAGGUCCGGAGGAUUUAUCCGUAGGACUAUCCAUUAGGACUGAGGAUCAAAGAAUUUGAGAAGGAGAGAGUUGACGAAUUUCAUGUUCAAAGAGCCAAUAGGUGAAAAGAAUAUUGAAUCCGUGGGCUUCUCUACCUUUCCAAGAAAAUGGAAACCCAUUUGGAUGACUUAUCAGCCGAUCCGACCCGAGAAUGAAGGCCAAUCCCUCAUUUAUUAGGAAAAAUUCAGGCAAGGUGAAAUUCAAUAUGACGAAGCGAUAAAUAGUGGUUGAUCUUAGAAUAUAUAAGUGGUUUAUCAAGCUCUGCUCAAGAAAUAAGAAAAUAAUAUGAAAGUGGUUUAUCAAGUUCUUUUUUAUGACUGAAAUCUGCGAAUCUAAUAAGUUGAUAUUAGAAAGUAAUAAAGUGCCUUUAUCAAGCCCAGAAGAGCUUUAUAGUCUUUAUCUAGCUUAGGCCUCUUUCUUUACUCAAUCUAGCUUAGGCCUCUUUCUUUACUCAGGGCCACUGAAGACUGCUCAUACAGCCACAACUGCGACCGGAACUGCUGAGGACGAUUCCUUUGGCUUUCUUCCCCGCUUCGAUUGAUUCCCGGCUUAAAUAGGCGAGUCCUGACUACAUCGCAUCGGCUUAACAGAAUCGAAAUCCGAGUCCUGCUGAAAUGGUCCCUAUUAUCUUCUUAUGUAUCCUAAACCUCCUCAUAUGAUUAUCAGAGUUCCGAGAUGAGAACAGUUCUUGCAAUGACGGACUCACUCCCAAUCUACAAUAUCUUUCUUCUUUGCGCUGGAGGUCCUUCAAUGCCCACGUAGCGGGUUUUAGUUCCAUUAAUCAGUCCUCCGCGGGUAGAGUCCGACUAGAAAAAAAAUAAGUGGAAUGAAAAAAGAAAGAAUGUCUCUUCUCAAAUACUUUGAGCCGGAGUUAGGCGCAUAAUAUGGAUUUCAGACGUAGUAGGAGCGGUCCUCAGCCUUUAUUUGAGAAUAUUGCGUUUUGGAGGCGCAAAGAAUAUUGCGGCGGGAAGAAUGGAUAUUGUAGAGUACGUACAGUAUCCGAUCGGGGAGAAAGGAGGGAUCCCAACAAAAAAGGCUAGGGACAAACUAAACUAGGCGUAAGGACGUCGAGGUGGAGGCGAAAGGCUCAAGUGAGUUGUAGAGGCCCUUUGUUCAUUGAGGCGGUAUUCAGUCGGUAGAGGAGUAAGGCGACCACCCGCACCCGAGGGAGAGAGAUCCGUCAAUCUUCUUGUUGCGGAUGAAGCUCUUGCUUUUUCUUUUUCAGUUGCCGUCGGUUAGAGCUCUUUCAUUCUCGUAAAUCAAGUGGAAAGGAAUAGAUUGAAACCAUUGAGCGAUGCCUUUCAUGAGCAGGGAACCUUCCCGCUUGGACCAGGAUUUCGAGUUUCAAGCGCAAGACGAUUCUGGUCUUGUACAGAUUCCAGGGAUGGAUCCCGUCUUGUCGACUUUGUCCCGCAUAUAAGAAGAUAUGAAGAAGUGCGAAUAUUCUUUCAUCAGAUAAAAAAAGAUAUAAGUAGUAAUGAACAAGUGCUCAAGAUUAUUGAAUAAUCCGAUAUUCAUUUCUCAUAAGUAGUAUGAAAAGACUUUCUCAAGCUCUUCUAUAUAAUAAGAUAAGUUUCAAGCUCUGUGGUGGAUUUUCUAAUAAAUAAGUAGUAAUUCAAGCUCUUGGUUUUCAUUUGCUUAAGACAUUGAAUUCGGUCUAUGACCUAACCGGGAAAAUGGACAAAACCCACUACGCGCUUUUCAAUAUUCUUUCUCAAUCUUCUCUUCUUUGAGCCUUUGUCAUUGAGCAGAUUCAUUGAGGGAUUUUUGAGACAUUUUCCAUCUUUUCUCUCGGGUACAUUUGGGGAAGGCAAGAUUCAAUUCGGACACCGAUUCUGAGGGUGUGCUAGUCCCAUUCUGAACUAAAAGAACUCGAAUCGAGAACGUCCGUCUUCCAUAGAAAAGCCCUUUCCUUCUCCAUUCUCCAAUAACCCGGAGGCUAAAAAAAGUGCAGACUCGAGCUAAGCUUGAUAAAGUCCCAAAGGCC